rnacentral:rRNA from 1 species
GAUAAACGCUGGCGGCGCACAUAAGACAUGCAAGUCGAACGAACUUAACCUUUAGUUUACUAAUGGAGCGGUUAGUGGCGGACUGGUGAGUAACGCGUAAGCAAUCUGCCUAUCAGAGUGGAAUAACAGUGAGAAAUCAUUGCUAAUACCGCAUAUGCUGUGAGUAUCGCAUGAUACAAACAGGAAAGGAGCAAUCCGCUGAUAGAUGAGCUUGCGUCUGAUUAGUUAGUUGGUGAGGUAAUGGCUCACCAAGACGAUGAUCAGUAGCCGGACUGAGAGGUUGAACGGCCACAUUGGGACUGAGAUACGGCCCAGACUCCUACGGGAGGCAGCAGUCGGGAAUAUUGCGCAAUGGAGGAAACUCUGACGCAGUGACGCCGCGUGCAGGAAGAAGGUUUUCGGAUUGUAAACUGCUUUAGACAGGGAAGAAAAUGACAGUACCUGUAGAAUAAGCUCCGGCUAACUACGUGCCAGCAGCCGCGGUAAUACGUAGGGAGCGAGCGUUAUCCGGAAUUAUUGGGUGUAAAGGGUGCGUAGACGGGCCAGCAAGUUAGUUGUGAAAUCCCUCGGCUUAACUGAGGAACUGCAGCUAAAACUACUAGUCUUGAGUAUUGGAGAGGAAAGUGGAAUUCCUAGUGUAGCGGUGAAAUGCGUAGAUAUUAGGAGGAACACCAGUGGCGAAGGCGACUUUCUGGACAAUUACUGACGUUGAGGCACGAAAGUGUGGGGAGCAAACAGGAUUAGAUACCCUGGUAGUCCACACUGUAAACGAUGGAUACUAGGUGUAGGUUGUUAUAAGCAAUCUGUGCCGUCGCAAACGCAGUAAGUAUCCCACCUGGGGAGUACGACCGCAAGGUUGAAACUCAAAGGAAUUGACGGGGACCCGCACAAGCGGUGGAGCAUGUGGUUUAAUUCGAAGCAACGCGAAGAACCUUACCUGGUCUUGACAUCCUUCUGACAAAGUAUGUAAUGUACUCUUCCUUCGGGACAGAAGUGACAGGUGGUGCAUGGUUGUCGUCAGCUCGUGUCGUGAGAUGUUGGGUUAAGUCCCGCAACGAGCGCAACCCUUAUCUUUAGUAGCCAGCAGUUCGGCUGGGCACUCUAGAGAGACUGCCAGGGAUAACCUGGAGGAAGGUGGGGAUGACGUCAAAUCAUCAUGCCCCUUAUGAUCAGGGCUACACACGUGCUACAAUGGCGUAAACAAAGGGAAGCAAUCACGUGAGUGUGAGCAAAUCUCAAAAAUAACGUCUCAGUUCGGAUUGUAGUCUGCAACUCGACUACAUGAAGCUGGAAUCGCUAGUAAUCGCGAAUCAGAAUGUCGCGGUGAAUACGUUCCCGGGUCUUGUACACACCGCCCGUCACACCAUGGGAGUCAGUAACGCCCGAAGUCAGUGACCCAACCGCAAGGAGGGAGCUGCCGAAGGUGGGACCGAUAACUGGGGUG